rnacentral:lncRNA from 1 species
UAUUAAUCUCGUGCUGAGCCAUAAACAACGCAUUGUAAUCUAAAAGACAUAUUUGUUUUACUGCAGGUACAACUGGGAAGUAGUGUCUGGGUGGAAAAAAGGAGGUGGGAGCUGCUGCUGGGGCGUCACCGGGACACCCUCUUCUGCAAGGGAGUUGCGAAGCUGGUGUGGGCCGGCACUUAGAGGUCGGAGCGUCACAGGGGCUCCUUGUCGGUGGUACCUCAAGGAGGGCAACGCCAACGAGAAGCCGGCAUUGAGCCCUCAUAAAUUGGACGCUGUAGGAUACACAUGUCGCAAGUUCAGCAGAAGCACUGUGCAACUCAAGAGCAGUUCGUCCUUUAUGCGAGCAGAAAAAUGAAGACUGUUUUUUUUUUUUUGCACGAAUUAUUCUGCAUUGUCUACGAAUGAGUCAAAUUCACGUACCAUAAUUCCACGGCACUCAAUAUCAUAUUCCAAGAAAGAAAGCGAAGUAAUCUGUUGUUUUGUGUGAG